rnacentral:rRNA from 1 species
CCUACGGGAGGCAGCAGUAGGGAAUCUUCCACAAUGGGCGAAAGCCGGAUGGAGCAACGCCGCGGGGGUGAAGAAGGUCUGCGGAUGGUAAAACCCUGUUGUUAGAGAAGAAAGUGCGUGAGAGUAACUGUUCACGUGUCGACGGUAUCUAACCAGAAAGCCACGGCGAACUACGUGCCAGCAGCCGCGGGAAUAGGUAGGUGGCAAGCGUUAUCCGGUUUUACUGGGCGUAAAGGGAACGCAGGCGGUCUUUUAAGUCUGAUGUGAAAGCCUUCGGCUUAACCGGAGUAGUGCAUUGGAAACUGGGAGACUUGAGUGCAGGAGAGGAGAGUGGAACUCCAUGUGUAGCGGUUAAAUGCGUAGAUAUCUGGAAGAACACCAGUGGCGAAGGCGGCUCUCUGGUCUGUAACUGACGCUGAGGUUCGAAAGCGUGGGUAGCAAACAGGAUUAGAUACCCCUGUAGUC